UACGGGGGGGGCAAGCGUUGUUCGGAAUUACUGGGCGUAAAGGGCUCGUAGGCGGCCAACUAAGUCGGAUGUGAAAUCCCCAGGCUUAACCUGGGAACUGCAUCCGAUACUGGAUGGCUUGAAUCCGGGAGAGGGAUGCAGAAUUCCAGGUGUAGCGGUGAAAUGCGUAGAUAUCUGGAGGAAUACCGGUGGCGAAGGCGGCAUCCUGGACCGGCAUUGACGCUGAUUAGCGAAAGCUAGGGGAGCAAACGGG
rnacentral:rRNA from 1 species